CCUACGGGGAGCAGCAGUGAGGAAUAUUGGUCAAUGGACGAGAGUCUGAACCAGCCAAGUAGCGUGAAGGAUGACUGCCCUAUGGGUUGUAAACUUCUUUUAUAUGGGAAUAAAAUGUUCCACGUGUGGGAUUUUGUAUGUACCAUAUGAAUAAGGAUCGGCUAACUCCGUGCCAGCAGCCGCGGUAAUACGGAGGAUCCGAGCGUUAUCCGGAUUUAUUGGGUUUAAAGGGAGCGUAGGUGGAUUGUUAAGUCAGUUGUGAAAGUUUGCGGCUCAACCGGAAAAUUGCAGUUGAAACUGGCAGUCUUGAGUACAGUAGAGGUGGGCGGAAUUCGUGGUGUAGCGGUGAAAUGCUUAGAUAUCACGAAGAACUCCGAUUGCGAAGGCAGUUCACUGGACUGCAACUGACACUGAGGCUCGAAAGUGUGGGUAUCAAACAGGAUUAGAUACCCUAGUAGUC
rnacentral:rRNA from 1 species